UGAUGAUGACUUUAUUGUCUUAAUGAAACUAAAGUUUGAAUAGUUUUCUUUCAGGACAUAUUUUUCCUGUUCAUGACAUCUGGUAGAGAUCCUGGGAUUGUGCCUAGAAGUCUAAGACCUCCUGAAUCAGAUGAUGUGCCUGACUCAACUACUCCUUCCAUGGAAUGGGUUAGCGGUAGAACCCCAAAUAUAAGGUUACCAAGGGUCAAAGAUGUAACCGUUAAUGGCCAUACUGUAAAAGUCAAGUUCUGUGAUACUUGUUUGCUUUACCGUCCACCUCGAGCUUCUCAUUGUUCCAUCUGCAACAACUGUGUACAGAGAUUCGACCAUCACUGCCCCUGGGUUGGCCAGUGCAUUGGAGUGGUAAGUCAGUAAACAUAUUCUCGAGUACUAUGUUGUCUAUGUGUUUUGAAAAUGUUGUGACUCUUUUUGCAGCGAAACUACCGGUUCUUCUUCAUGUUCAUAUCAACAUCAACGACUUUGUGCAUAUAUGUGUUUGUGUUUUCUUGGUUGAACUUAUUCCAAAGACAUAUGGAUGAGAAGAUUAGCAUCUGGAAAGCAAUAUCCAAAGAUGUUCUGUCUGAUAUUCUCAUUGUUUACUGCUUCAUUACCGUUUGGUUUGUUGGUGGGCUCACUAUAUUUCAUUCCUAUCUCAUCUGCACCAACCAGGUGAUUAGAAAUAUCAAAUAUCCAUCCUUUGUGUUUCUCUCUUUCUCUUUUUGUGUGUUCUAAUUCUGAAUCUGUUUUUGUGCAGACUACUUAUGAGAACUUCCGUUACCGAUAUGAUAAGAAGGAGAAUCCAUACAACAAAGGAGUUUCGGGGAACAUAAGAGAAAUAUUUCUAUCUAAGAUUCCUCCAUCCAUGAACAAGUUUAGAUCAUUUGUCAAGGAAGAAGAUUACAUGAUGGUUGAAACUCCUACAUCAAAUCUCGGUGAAAGUCUAGUGAGCUCAAAAGAGAAGAUUGAUAUUGAAAUGGGAGGAGGAGGAAGGAUAGUUGAUGAGGGUGGAAAGACUUACUCACUCCCUGAGAUUCUCAGGAAUCUAAACUAUGAAGACCUUGAGGAUGACUGUGAGGAAGAUGACUUGAAGGCCAAGGGUCAUCACCACCACCAUCAUCAUCAGAAUGAGGAAAUCAUCCCUCCUUUUGACCCUUUCUUCACCAAUGACAAUGGUGUUAACAAGGAUGAGAAAAAUGGACAAGAAUCAAGAGGAUCUUCAAAUGAUAAUGGAGAUUCAGGGAAACAUGUUGGGGUCUCUAUUGAUGAUGAAGAAAAAGCUGAAGGGUAUGAAGAAAAAUGGAGUAUGGACAGUGUCAUGAACAUAAACGCAGGAUCUGAAGAUGGAGCAAGCUCUCCUCAAUCUACUUCCCCAAUGCUUCGUAAAUAGAGGUAAUGAAAAUUAAGGAUUACCCCUCUCUGUUCUGGGUUGCCUUGUUUUACAAGAUACCAUUUUUCUGAGCCCUAACACUGUCUUUGUUAAAAAGUGAAGGGCUUGAAGCUGGAGAAGUGGAGAAUGUUCUCUGUCAUUCUUUUAACUGUGUUUCAUAUAAUUGUGGAGAAAAAAAAAAUCCAGAGAAAUAAGAAACAUUGUAGGUUUUGUGCGUUUGAGGUGUAUUAGUUUUUUUUUUCUUUUUCAUUUAGUUGUAUUUAUAUUCACAUAUUUUUGUUAUUAAAAUGAUUUGGACCACGAAUUGUAAUGUAUACGAUUGUACUUGAAAUUAUUUUCUUUUUAUUUAUUUGUUGGUUGAUUGGUUUUCAUUUUCCAUGUGUUGAUUCUCUUCUAGGCCUGGCGUUCGAAUAUGGUUUUCGGAUUUUCAGGCUUACUGUCAAAGGUUCCAUUUUAUUUUAUUUUAGAACGCUCGGUUUCGGAUAAUAUGCUCGGUUCAAAAUUGUAUUGCAUUCUGAAAUCCAUAAAGUAAUCAAAUAUCUAUCGGUUUCAGGUUUUUUAGGUUCGGGUUAUACUGAAAUAAAAUACAAAAUUUAUGAAACAAAUCAUAUGAAACAUAAUCCUCAAUCUGAAAUGAAAACUACUAGGCACACAUCAAAUCUGAAAAGAACACUCCAUUGUUCAAUAGAACUGAAAAACAACAUUCCAUAGUUCAAUCACAGCCGAAACAACAAUAUUCCAUAGUCCAAUCAUAACUGAAAAAAAACACUGAAAAUUUCAUUUCCCCUUCUCUCUGUGUCUUCUUAACCAACGGAUUGGAUUUGAUCCGGAUCAAUCUCGUUUGCAGUUUGGUUUGGUUUCGAAUUUUGCUUCUUUUGUUUGAUCAAAGGAUUCAAAUUUUGCUAUUUUGUAAAUGUCGAAAUAAAAUUGAAUUUGGUUUGGUUCAGUCCCCCGUUAUUGUUUAUUUAUUAGUCCAGUUUAGUUUUGAUUAUGAGCUUUUAGUCUUCCACUACUACCUAAUAAUCUGCACCCACUAGGCAGGAUUAUCUAGCUUUUAUGGCCACCUUUUAUUGUUGAUUCAGUGGCAAGCAUGAUCAUGAUAGCCUCAACUUUCGCGUACAGAAGCUGGAGUAAGGUAACAACAGUGACGCAACUGUCAAGAGGAUAAAUGUCACUAUGUCAGUGAAGGGCAGGCGCGGCAUCGAUUGGCUUGGUUUACCAAGAACUAUCGAACUUAAGGAGAAACUCAAACCUUGGAAUGUGAGAUUCAAGAUAGGGCAAAGAUCAGACGAAACAGGUGUUAAGUCUCACCUCUCUCUCUUUGUCUUCACUCGUCGUAGAGACUUUAAAACCUAGAAUAGAAGUUAGGAGAAUAAGUGUAUAUUUACAGUUUGAUGUAUUUCAUAGUCUCCAUCUUUUUUAUUAGGGUUUAUGUAAUAACUCACAAGUGGUGUUUCUUGGGUCUUAUGGUAACUGUGUGACUGGAAGGGUUGAAAGUUUGUGAAUAUAACGCAGAAGAAGUAUUGUACCACCGUGACUAAAAUAACUAAAAAAAUGGAUGUGAAGAGAUAAAUAAGAUUCAUUGAGAUGUUUGUACAGUAAAUUCUCUGAUUUACCAAAAAUCAAAAUAUUUUACCAAUUGAGCAAAAGCUGUAUAACUAAUAUCUCAAUAAUCAUACAAAAAAAAAAAAAAUCUCACUAAUCACUAUCAUCAUCUGAUUUUGUGUAAUAAAAAAAGGGGAUUGACUUCCAUUUUUGGCUAUAGAUGUAUACAGUCUUAAUACAAUGAGGUACAUUCUUACAAGUUACAACUUCUUGUGAGAAAGCAUUGGUAGAUAGAACCACUAACAAAUAUGUGGAAGCACGUUUAGUUGAGGGAUGAUUUGACUUGCCCUUUCACAGCUCAUUGUUUGCAUCAUUUAUUUAUUAUUUAUAGAUUUAGUUGGCCGACUUUAAACAAUUAAUUAAAAUUAAUCUUAAACUAAACAAGAAACUGAGAUCCCUUCUUACAGACAUCCUUGUCGCAUAAUCAGUUUUCUUAAUUACAUACCAUGUCCGACCAUUAUCUCAUGAUCUCAAGCAAAUUAAAAAAAUAUUUUCUUUUUCGAAAAAAUAAAUAAAGAAAGAGAAGAUAGAAGAGAGAAAGGGAUCGCAAUUUGGAAACAUCUGUAAUAAUUUUUCUUUGUGAUUUUCGAGAGGAGAGGACAGCUCCAAUCUUUCUGUCUCUCUCCCUCUCAAGUGUAUUGAAAUUGUGAAUCUUUCUUCGGAGGAAACAAGAGAUUUGUCCCGUUUAUGGGAUUUUGUCCUGAUUUGAUCCCAUCUCUGACACCUUUGUCUAUAGAUUCUCCGAUGGUUUUCUGAUUCUGGGUUCUUCCAAAUUUCUUAACUUUGUUGUUUGUUCUGUUCUCCUCCUUUAGUUAUGGCUUGGAAUGAGACCAAACUCAAGAGGCUUUAUCAAGUUUGGAGAGGAAGCAAUGUAAGUUCUUGUCUAAUGUCACUUUGGUGUUUGAUUCAUAUACUCAUAGUAUCUUUGAGUCUUGAUUGGUUCAUAUAUAGAAACUUCAGGCCAUGGUUAGUGAUUACUGUAAGCUGUUCAUGGUUCUUAAUUUGUGAUUUUGACUUUGAAUUUUCCAGAAAUUUCUUUGUGGAGGGAGGUUAAUCUUUGGUCCAGAUGCAUCAUCUCUAUACCUAUCGACCAUCUUGAUCCUCGGUCCCUCGGUGAUGUUCUUUGUAAAAAUGUACUUGAAAAUGGCUGAUCCUCUCACCAAGAAUCGAAACCUCUGUGUUCCAAUUCUCUCCGUCGCUUGGAUACUCACCCUUUUGGUAUGUCUUCUUCUUUCCCAACUCCGUAGAUGAUGAUGACUUUAUUGUCUUAAUGAAACUAAAGUUUGAAUAGUUUUCUUUCAGGACAUAUUUUUCCUGUUCAUGACAUCUGGUAGAGAUCCUGGGAUUGUGCCUAGAAGUCUAAGACCUCCUGAAUCAGAUGAUGUGCCUGACUCAACUACUCCUUCCAUGGAAUGGGUUAGCGGUAGAACCCCAAAUAUAAGGUUACCAAGGGUCAAAGAUGUAACCGUUAAUGGCCAUAC
rnacentral:lncRNA from 1 species